GUUUCAUUUGACUUUGGGGCAAAUUUAACUUUUCCAUUCCAUUCAAAACUUGCGUGAAAUCAGAUUUUUCAUCUUUGCCGGAAAAGCGCAUCUCUUCUCUUUGAGUUGAUUUACGGCUGCCCAUAUCUUGCUCAUAAAGGGAAAAUUAUCCGACACCAGGUUCAUUUCACCGAAAGCAAUGGGUUUAGGAAAUAUGGGUCAAUUUCUUCACUAAUAUCUCUCGACCGCGAGUUCCAGUCGUCGCGAUUGGCGUUCUGUGAAAUAUCCAACAUUGGGUUCAUUUUGGAAGCAAAGUAGAAGUCGAAAUCUGGCUUGAGUCGAAGAGAUGACGGACAAAGGUAUUUCCCUUUCCCAUUUUAGUUUGAUACUGGUUUAGGGUUUAGGGACAAAUGUAUACUCUUUCCCUUGAAUGUGUAAUCAUAAAAACCUACCAAUACUGGUAAUAAGUCUACUAAUGUAGAAGAUAAAUUUUUUCAGAUAAAAGGGAAAAAAUAUUGUUGCUUCAUUUGGUUUCAUAGAAUGCAUGAGUAAAACAAGUAAAGGAUUUGCUGAAAUAUGCUUCGUAGAAUGAUGAAGGCAUCUGAGAAAUGGGAUAAUUCAUCUGUUAAACAUCAUUAUCAAUUCAAGCAUUUAUGAAUUUCUGCUUUUGUAUUUUAUAGUGCACUUUCUUCUUUUGAUUUCCCUUUCUUUGUUGGGCCAAGAGAGGCAGCAUCAGAACCAUACCAAAAACAAUAGAAGCUAGGAUAUUUUGUCAUUCUUCCACAUAAUGCACAUAGAAUUUGAGAAACACUUUAUGCUUUAAUAUUGUCUUUUGAUUUUGUGACGAAUAUUUAAUACUUUAUAGUUGAAUUAGUGAUAAAAAAUGAAACAAGUGUGUGUGUGUGUUUGUGUAUGUAUUUAUUUUUUUGAAAAUGGAUUUAAUUUUCUAAAUUUUGUUACUUGCAAUCGAAUAUGUUCUUAAUUUUUCAAGUGAAGUCGGUUUGUCCUUUUUCAAGUGAAGUCAGUUUCAAGAGGUUUACAUAUAUAAACUUUACAAUUUUUUUUGUUUGUCGCAUCGAAAGGAAUUUCGGAAGAGGCUGACAAUGAUAUCUUGUUAGAAUCAGAUAACGAGAAGAUGUUGGAAAUUACGAAUGUAGUGGACGAUGGAAUUGCAGGACUAGAGGGUAUGAUUGUGCCCGAAGUAGGUAUGAAGUUCAGUGAUGAAAAAGAAAUGUUUGAUUUUUACAAACGAUAUGCAUACAACGUAGGCUUUCCGAUUAGGAAAAGAAAUUCGCAAAGGGAUGAUGAUGGAAUUGUAAGAUACGUUGUGUUUACAUGUAGCCGUGAAGGUCGUAGAAGUAGUAACACAAGCGGUUCUAUGAAGAUGCAAGCUACCAUUCAAACGGGUUGUAAAGCUAGGUUGACUGCAUCAUUAGAUGUGUGCAGAGUAUGGAAAAUUAACAUAGUCAAUCUCAUUCACAAUCAUAAAACCAGCCCUUCGAAGUUCAGGUUGUAUCGUUGCAACCGAGAAUUGAGUGCCCAUGUCAAACGACGGCUUGAAGUGAAUGACAUGGCAGAGAUUCCUUUGCAUAAAAGUUACAAUUCAGCGGUUGUAGAAGUAGGGGGGGUAUGAGAAUAUGACUUGCAUUGAAAAGGAUCGUCGAAAUUAUGUUAAAAAGGUAAGGUGGUUAAGACUGGGCGAAGGAGACGCUGCAGCAAUUCAGUUAUACUUUUCGAACAUGCAGUCAAUGUGCUCUGGUUUUUUCUUUAGUAUGGAUUUAGAUGAGGAGUCUCUGUUGAGGAAUAUUUUUUGGGUAGAUAAUAGAAGUAGGCUGGCAUAUAAGGAGUUUGGGGAUGUUGUGACAUUCAAUACCACAUACCUAACUAACAAGUAUGACAUGCCAUUUGCGCCUUUUGUUGGAGUUAAUCAUCAUGGGCAAUCAACACUCCUUGGUUGUGGUUUGUUGUCAAACAAAAAUAUAGAAACAUUUGUGUGGCUUUUCAAGACUUGGCUUCAGUGUAUGCAUGGACAAGCACCCCUUGGUAUUAUUAUCGAUCAAGACAGGCCCAUGCAGAAUACAAUUCAGAUUGUGUUCCCGAACACAAAACAUAGAUGGUGUUUGUGGCACAUAUUGAAGAAAUUGCCAGAGAAGUUUGGACACCACAGCGACAAGGGUUAAAUCUUUUCUGCCAUACAUGUACUGGUGUAUGAUACUGAAACCGUUGACGAAUUUGAAGAGGGUUGGAGUGUGAUGAUAGAGAAGUAUAAUUUGCAUGACAAUGACUGGUUGUCGGGAUUAUAUUCGAAUAGGGGCCGUUGGGUACCUUGCUAUUUGAAAUGUAUGUUCUGGGCUGGAAUGUCAACUACUCAACGCAGUGAGAGCAUGAAUGCAUUCUUCGACGGGUAUGUGCACUCUAAGACGUCGCUAAAGCAAUUUGAUGAACAAUACGAGCAAGCUUUGAGGAAUAAGGUAGAGAAGGAGUUCCAGGCAGAUUUCAAAUCUUACUCACAAAUGGUUCCAUGUGCAACGAAAUAUGAGCUAGAGAAGCAAUUUCAACUAAUUUAUACCAUCUCAAAAUUUAGGGAAGUUCAGGAUGAGUUCAUUGGGAAGAUCUACUGCGAUCUCAUAUCUUUGUUGGAGUGCUUCUCAGGGACAAGGUAUGAGGUAUUGGAAGUAGGGGUGUAAGCGGUCCGAUUUUACUGAUUUUUGACAGAUUUUCAAAUCAAACCGUUUAAAACGGUUUGAGAAAAAUCCAAACCCAAACCUAAACCAAACCAUUUUAAACGGUUUGAAAAAAACUCUAAUCUAAACCUAAUGGUUUGGUCCGGUUUUAAACCGCCGAUUUCGCCAUAUAUUUUUUUGCUCAUCUACUUUUAUGUCAUUAAUUUAUUGAAUUUAAUAUAUAUUUAUAUCUCACUAGUAAUAAAUCUAAAACAAAUUAAGCCCCUGUUUGAACCAAAUUUUUAGGACAAAAAAAUGAAAAUUUGGACCGUUAUUCCACAAGUCCAGCCACCUUCGUGCACCUGCUAUUUCAUGUAUGGGACCCAACCUCUUCUCCAAUAGUCAAUUUUCUCAUUAUGAUGAUAUGAAAAAUAUGGCUCAAACAGGGGCUAAAUAUAUCUACUAUAAAUUUAAAUAUCAACUAAAUCAAAGUGAAAUCACAAUAAAUUAAAACAUAGUUUUUUUUUUUCAUUUUUGUUCACCUUUUUUAGGCUAAUGACGAUACAAUAACAUUACAAUACAAAUAUACUAAACAAGAUAUAAGGUCCAAAAAAUAUAAUGAUGUCCAACAAGAUCUCGUGAUCAUCAUAUCUGAAAAAAAGGAUACUGAUUAAACAAAGAGAAUAACCAACCACAAUAAUAAAGCAAUUGUUUAUAAUAUCUAAACAUAACAAUUACACAAAUUUACGUUUGUAUGAUGUUACGAAACACGUUUAAUUUUAGAUUUUUACCUUAGGUUGCUCCAAAAAAUUUUUGAUCUGUAACUUUAUUUGUGGCAAAUAUUAUCACUGAAAGUCUAGGAUCUUUUUGUCUCUUAUUUCAAUUCAACUUUGAAGAGGCGUGAAAAAUCUGAAAAAGAAGUGUGUGGUGCCGGUGGCUCAAAACUGUGUUGGGUGUCGACUGGAGUUCAUCUAAAUUUUGAAGAGGAAAAAGACUUUUGAUAGAUUAUGGUAGUUUAGAAAUUAUUAAAUAUAUAUUAGGAUUAUUGGAUAAUAAUAAUAAUAAUAAUAUAUCUAUAUUAGAAAAUUAGGAAUUGAAAAAAAUACCCAUAAAUGAAAAAACUAUUGAAUUUUACAUAUUUGGAUGAAUUUUCAAAAAAUUUCAUUUUUUCAUUUUUUUAUUUUUAUAUAUUUUUUCGUCGGUCCAGUUUGGUUUUAAACCGCAAUUAAAAUUCUCAAACCUAAACCAAACCAUUUUGACCGGUUUGGUUUGGGUCAAAACCAUUUCGUUGACCGGAUCCACGUGGCACCAAACCGACGGUUUCUAAAAUGUGGUUUCAGUUCGGUUUUGCGAUUUUGCGGUUUUUGCUUACAGCCCUAAUUGGAAGAUGUCAUACUUGAUGAUCGAUUGAAGAAAAAGAGUUGUUAUGUCACUUUUGAAAAUGAGAAAUGUGAAAUCGUAUGUAGUUGUCACCUCUUCGAGUUUCGAGGAAUAAUUUGCAGGCAUGCGAUCGCUGUACUCAUCCGUAAUAACAUCACUUCACUGCUCGACUCCUACAUAUUACGGAGAUGGAGAAGAGAUGUGAGUAGGGCCCACACCAAGGUCGCAGCCAACUACGAUGGUUUGAGUAGCAGUCCAGCCCAGUUGAGAUAUGACAAAUUGUGUCAAUCAUUUGCUUUUCUUGUGAACUUGGUUGCAGAGGACGAUGAGGAAAGUCGUCAGGUAAUGGAAUGGAUAGAUUGCAAAGAACGAACAGUGGGUCUGACGAUGUCGACUGGUGGAAGUAAUAGAUUAGCGCAACAGAUUUCUCAGACAGCGUUAGAUGAUGGAGUAUCGCAUCACUCUGUCAUAGGAAGUGUACAUGACCCGAAAUGCUCGAAUAGAAAAUGUGCACCAAAGAAACUCCACAAGAAAAGUUGUUUGGAAUCGAAUUCCAAUAACACAAAGGUAUGUUUGCAAUUUAUUUUGUUUCAUUAAAAAGUGAUUAGUAGUAGUAAUUAUUUAUCUAGUAUGUAGUCCCGUCCAACAUCAGUUAAGGAAAGGAAAACGAAGGCAAGCCCGAAUAAACUGAGAGAAGUUGGAUCGAUCUCAUACUCCAUGCAGGCACCAAUCUCAUAUUCACAACUCCUGAUGGUUUGUCUCUUUCCAUUGAUAAUUGAAUAUGACUUCCACUUUUUAUUUAUGUUAUAAUAUGGUGCAGGGUGCUGCCGAAAGUCAUGCAUUUACACAACAAAAAAUGUCUCCCAAUUUCAUCCCAUUGGAUCCAACAAAUGCUAUGUUGUAUGGUCCAGGUAAUGAUAUGGUUUCUCUUCAUUAUUUAUUUGAAGUCAUACUUCGUCUGCAUAAUAACUUUGAUUAUUUCACAGUUGGAAAUGCAAUGCCUAAUUACUAUCCAUAUGUACCUAACCGACCUGGACCGAAUAUGUGAUGCUAGAUGAAGCAGACAACCCUUGAUACAUGAAGCAGUUUUAUUUUUGCAGGAGACUAAAGAAAAAGAGCCCAGCCUUCUGUUGUUUUGUUUAAUACUUUGAGUUUCUGUAAAAUGGGUUUUGUAGAUAUUGCAAAAUCAUUAUUUUGUAUGAUGUUUAAGUAUGGAUUAUUUCUGAAUUCUGUUGUUUUGUUUAAUACAUGGAAUGGGGCCUGAUAAAGUGACUUUCAACAUUAUAUAGUUGUAUAUGAGAGUAAUUUUGGCCAAUUGAAAUGCCUUUCUCUAUAUUUGGCAGGCUAUGUUGCAUA
rnacentral:lncRNA from 1 species